CAUUUUCCUUCUAGCGCAGACAUACAGUGUCAAAAACUUUAUGGUCCUGGUUGCAAAUGUAUUCGCACAUAUUAUUGUCCACCACCGCCAUUUGAUAAACUUUGGAUCCAAGCAUCACAAGAAUGAGUAUCAAAAGUGUGUGUUGGAAUAAUAAAACGUUGAUAAGGAUUGAUUAUAUCUUACUAUCAUGUAAUAUCAAAGUUUAUAAAGUCAUGUUAAAUAAAACUUAAGAUUUAAACAUUUUCCAUAAUCAUGAUCUUAUAUACAUAAGAUUACAUAUUAUCAUAGUUUAGAUGAUAUGUGAUGGUACGCAGUCUAAUUCAAAUUGAGACAGAGGCAAGUUCUUCCCUUUUGAAUCAGGUAGAUUUAUGUUGAAUUUGAGAAAUAUUUACUAUUCGAAAAGAGUAAAAACACAUUCCUUAUCUAAGAUUCAAAUUAAUUUCUCAACAAAAUAAACUUUUUUUUAUCAAACCUCUCUUUUUUUCUCAUAUUUUAAUAUUGGAUUUUCCUAUAUAGUAAAAUAUUUGAACUCAUAUUAUCACAAAUAUUAAAAUAUGUAAAUAUAUAUAAGCUUAAGAAAAUGAUGAAUAAUUUUUUUACGUUAAACAUUUUAUAAUCUUUCUUAUUGUAUUGUUUUUCUGCAGUCUAAUUCAAAUUGAGACAUAGGCAAGUUCUUCCCUUUUAAAUAAGGUAGAUUGACGUUGAAUUUGACAAAUAUUUACUAUUCGAAAAGAGUAAAAACACAUUCCUUAUCUAAGAUUCAAAUUAAUUUCUCAACAAAAUAAACUUUUUUUUAUCAAACCUCUCUUUUUUUCUCAUAUUUUAAUAUUGGAUUUUCCUAUAUAGUAAAAUAUUUGAACUCAUAUUAUCACAAAUAUCAAAAUAUGUAAAUAUAUAUAAGCUUAUGAAAAUGAUGAAUAAAAUUUUUACGUUAAACAUUUUAUAAUCUUUCUUAUUGUAUUAUUUUUCAUUUUAUUUAAUAAAAAGUUAUUACUAUAGAUAUGAGUAAGUAACAUGAGUAAGUAACACAUUAUAUCUCUGUGAAAAAUGUCAAUCUCAAAAGUAAUUAAAAAACGUUUUUGACUACAAAUAAUAAUUUCCAUUGACCAUACCAAACAUAAUAUACAUGGUUAAUAAUUGACAUGUAAAAUCAAUUGAAAUUAAAAUUAAAAUGUGCAACUUAAUACUAAGAUGUAAGUAAAUAUAUUGAAAUUAUUACUUUUUUUAAUUAUUAAAAAGAAACCAAAAUAGGUUCACAAAAAUUAAAAUUGCCUCCAAAACUAGCUUCCAACAUAUUGUUGUUGUGCAAGCCAAGAAGGUACUACUAUCGGGAUAUUAUGCAGCUAUAUGUCAAAUACGAAAGUAAACUAUUUUUUAUCUCCCUAAAGUUGUCUGACUUGGCCUAACUCCGGGUCCUGAAUAAUAAUAUCGAUACAGCUAGAGGUGUCAAAAUGGGCGUGGCCAAUCCAGCCAGCCCACCAAAAACCCACAAAUUUAUAGGAUUUGAGUAUCAUUUUAGGUACUUUUUAUUAAAUCCGGGCUUUUUAGCCCGAACUGGUCGGACUAUAUCAAAACCGAGCUCGGGUUGGUCUUACUCGGACGGGUUUGGACUACUCGCUUUCCCUUAUUUUUUAUUAUUUUCGGGACCUUUGGCUUGGUAUUAAGCCUUAUGUAAAAAUUAUAUUAUAAAAUAACUUAUAAUAAAAAAUAUAUAAUAAACUAGUAAGUUAACCGUACAUUCGUACGGUGCCGUUCACUCGUACGCAUGCUUAAGAUCAAUAAUGUCUAAAAUAAAUUUAAAAAACAUAUAUGUAUCGAUUAAAGUAUAUAAGAAGAUAUGCAUUAAUAGAUUGGUAUAUUUGAAACAAAGAUAUCAUCAUAUAUAUCAAAAGUGGAGUUGAUAUAACAAAAGAUGAUUGAAAUGACAUGUGUUAAGAUAAAUAUUGUGUGAUGAACUUUGAAUAGAAAAUAGAGUGAUGUCUAUAAUAUAAAUAUUUAUAAAUUACAAUAAUGUUUUAAAGUUAAGUAUUAUAUUAUUUUUCCUAUAUUCCAAAUAUCUUUUGUAAGCACAAUAACAAAAUAGUAUAUCAAAUCAAUUGAGAAGAUAUUAAACCAUGUAGAUUCUACUUUUAAUUUCUUAAUUGUGUAUUUAAUUAGAUUUAAAUUCUACAACAAAAAUAUAAUAAAGAAAAUAGUUUUUUUACAACUAAACUAAAAGAGAACAUAAUUUUUUACCAUAGAGAACUCCACACCAGGAAAUUCAACAUAAUAGUUCACAAUAAAAGUAUUGAUAAAUAGCAUACAAAAGAUCAUCAUAUAGAAAUUAAAGAAUAACGAUCAUAUAUUACGAUGGUUAUUAUACUUUGACAUAUAAAGUUCAUUCUAAACUUGUGUCUAUAUUACAGUACUAUAAACCGAAACGAUAAUAUUUUGAUAGUAUCCAAAUAUAUACAUAUUAAAGUGAAGCUAAAAAUUAUAUUGUGUUAGGGUGUUAGAGUCCAAUAGAAAUAAGAUAUUUAGUAUGUGUUAUGUUAAAAAUCAUAUAUGUGGACUUGACAUCACGCCUAAACUCAAACACAAGACAUUAGAUUAAGUUUGAUUGCAUUGGGCAUAAUUAUAUAUAUAUAUAUAUAUAUAUAUAUAUAUAUAUUAAAUAGAUUAAAUAUGUUAAAAUUUAAAUAAAUAAUUUUUAGUAUUAUCCGGGCCCGAACGCCACAACCCGCAACCUGCUUAGGGAAGGUUUCGGCUACAAUUUGAUAUGGAUAAAUUGUAUCCGAGCUUUUUAGCCUGAACCUGAUGUGAGCUAGGUCGAACCCGUUCGGGUAGUCUGUUUUAACACCUACACAUACCGCAUAUGUUCUUUGGUCUUGAAAGGAUGGAUCCGGAUUGUGGUAACUCGAUCAGAAUCAUCUAGUAUAGCCUGAGAAGUGCUUGAACCCAUUGGGGUAAGCACGCGGAAAGGUUCUCGUACGAUCAAGCCAAUAUGUGAGAGAUAUAUAGAAUAUCAAAGAAUAAUAAGUAAGAGAUAAAGUGAAAGAGUUAAUAAGUAUGUGUAUAUCAUGUGACUUCCAUUAUAGAUGAGGUUGGUUUGAUCGAUCAAAUGGUAUGUUGGGUCUAUCCUGGACAAAUGAAGAUUGCUUUUCCCAUGUCAGGUGGCUUUGGAAGAUCUAUAAUUGGUGGACAAUUGUCUUUUGCUCAUAUUCGCAUGUAUCACUAUGUCAUUAGUCUAUCUUGUCUGAUUUUGAGAGAUACAAUCACUACGCCAGAAUAGCAAAACUACAAUACUUAAAAUUGUCAUUUAACAACGUUUUUUAGACACUUUAUAUGUUAGUGCAAUAGUACAUAAGGUUAUACGUAACAUUGUUUUUUGAAGCGUUGUAGAAAGUAGACAUUUUGCAGCGCUCACUGAAGCAAGCGUUGUUAAAUGUCUACUUUCUAAAUAAGACAAUAUAUCUUCCAAACAUUCUAUCCAAUACAUGACAAGCAUGUCCAACUCCACAACAUCUACAAUAGAUUUAUUAAAUCACCAACGACAUCAGCUACAUUCAACCUUAUCAGAUUCCAAUAUUGUAAAAUAAUAUAUGAGUAAUGAGAUCUUACGCAAAUUGUUCAUUCUUUCUCCUCCAAUGUGCAAGUCCUUACUAAGUGUUCCUCAAUGAUUAUUAUAAGAUGCAAAUACAAAUAAAAAAUGGCAUCUCUAAACAAAUUGCAAAAGUUAUAAAAAAUAAAAAAUUACCAGCAAUUGAGAAAUAAAAUUUACCUUUACACUCAAACUAUGUGUUCUAAACUAGUGAACUACAACAAAAAGCCUAGAAGACCAUAGUUGCAUAACUUUACAACAACUAAAGAUCACACUGUUAGGGAAAUGUUUCCACCAAAUUGAUCAUAAAUAAAUUAAUUAUUUAAAAAUAUAACUAUUCAAAUGCAUCAAAGACUUCUUAUUUAUGGUGUAUAUGCAAGCAUCAAGACUGAAUCAAAAAGAAAUAAAUGAGGUAAAAUAAGAUAACGAUUUACCUUAGGCUGGAAGAGAAAAACAAAAAACUGAUAACUUGCUUGAAGAGAGAAACUGAAAACAAAAGAGGAAAAAAUGUAACUCAUGGAGAAGAAGAAAAGUAAGAGAAAUAAUAAAUUGAAUGAUUGAUAAGUGCCAAAAGUAUACNNNNNNNNNNNNNNNNNNNNNNNNNNNNNNNNNNNNNNNNNNNNNNNNNNNNNNNNNNNNNNNNNNNNNNNNNNNNNNNNNNNNNNNNNNNNNNNNNNNNAACCUAUGUUAAGGUAGGCAAGGCAACUUGCAAAAAUCAAAUGCUUACCUUAACUUAAAGAAAACAGCCCAAAAGUGCCAAGCAACCAACAAAAAUAAAGUAACAAACCAAAGGAAAACAGGUUGCUUCACCAUGAAGAAAUCAAGCACAAAGUUGUCCAGCCAAGCCAAGCACCAAGCACCAAGCACCAGGCCAGGUCAGUCGGCACCAAGCACCAAGCCAGGUCAGCCAGGCACCAAGCAUCAGGCUAGGUCAGCCAGGCACCAAGCAUCAGGCCAGGUCAGCCAAGCACCAAGCACCAGGCCAAGUCAGGCAAGCACCAAGCACCAAGCCUGGUCAGCCAACACCAAGCACCAGGCCAGGUCAGCUAAGCUGCUGAAAUAGGCAACUGAGCAAGGAACCAGUCAGCUGAGCGGCUGAAACAUGCAGCUGAGCAGGGAACCAGGUCAGCCAAGCUGCUGAAAAAGGUAGCUUAGCGGGGAAACAAGUGGGCUAAGCGGCUGGCGCACCAGAAAAGUGAUUUUUUGGUCAAAUCAUGGAACAUCUUACUUUUUCUUUGCUUAAAGGCCAAGAACAUGACCUCAUGGAUGACAUAAGGCUAUGACAAGAAGGGAGGAGGUGUCACCAUGCAUGUAACCUAGCCCACCAAGGUGAGCAACUUAGAAUAAGAAGUAGGGGCCAAAGGUGAGCAACUUAGAUGGCAAACAAGGCAGUUGAGCAUCCAACACUUUGGCCUAUAAAGAGGCACGACAUUAUCAUUUUUAAAACAUUGUAAAUUUAUUCUAAAUACUCAAACAAUCCUCAGCAGUACUCACACAAUAAGUCGAGGGAGAAUCCACCUAAAUACUCUAACGGUAACAAACUCCAUUUUGGAAGAAGAUGUCCGAGUAAGGAUGAUGUGUGCUUCAAUUGUGGUCAGUCUGGACACUUCCGUUAUGAAUGUCCUGGAAAUUCCAAAGGCCAAAAAAAUCAGUUGCCAAUAAGACCACCAGCGGAGAAACCAACCAAACGUGGGAAAGUUUUUGCUUUGAGUGGAGCCGAAAUAGCAAAGUCGCCUGAUCUCAUCCAAGGUAAGUGUCUGAUUAAUGGAAGUCCUUCUAUGGUUUUGUACGAUUCAUGAGCCACCCAUUCUUUUAUAUCAUAUAAUUGUGUGCUACGAGUAGGAUUAAAAGCCACUAUUAUGCCAUAUGAAAUAGCCAUAGAAUCUCCUAUGAAGUCUUUAGUGAUGACGUCCGACACAUGUUUGCAAUGCCCAGUGGUGAUUCAGGGAAGAACCUUUAUGGUGGACCUGAUUUGCCUUCCCUUGUCACAAUUGGAUGUGAUUUUAGGAAUGGACUGGAUGUUGGAAAAUGGUGUCUCUUUGAAUUGUAGGCAUAAAACCAUAGAAUUUUUAGAAAUCCUGGGAGAAUGUUCAGAUAAAGAAGAUCGUCAGUCUAUGUCUGCUAAGGAAUUCUUAGCAAGAAUUCGAGUAGGAACCCAACUGCUUGUCUUUUUAUCAUCUUUGGAGACUGAAAAGGGGAUGGGAACUCGAGGAAUUCUAGUAGUAGAAGAAUUUCCAGAGGUAUUUCCUGAAGAUAUUCCAGGUUUACCACCCGAAAGAGAAGUGGAAUUAUCAAUAGACUUAAUCCAUGGAACAAGACCAAUCUUUAUGGCUCCUUACAUAAUGGCCUCUUUAGAACUGUUAGAACUCAAGAAACAAUUAGAAGAUAUGAUUAGUAAGCGAUUCAUCAGAUCCAGUGUGUCACCAUGGGGUGCUCCAGUAUUAUUUGUGAAGAAAACGGAUGGGAGCAUGAGACUGUGUAUAGACUACCAACAGCUUAACAAAGUAACCAUUAAGAAUAAGUACCCACUUCCUCAGAUUGAUGAUUUGAUGGAUUAGUUAAGAGGAGCUUCAAUAUUUUCUAAGAUUGACUUAAGGUCGGGAUAUCACCAAAUUCCAGUUAAGAAGGAAGAUGUGCUGAAAACAGCUUUUUGUACUCGAUAUGGACAUUAUGAGUAUUUAGUAAUGCCCUUCGGAGUUACGAAUGCUCCUACAGUGUUCAUGGACUAUAUGAACAGGACUUUUCGGCCGUUCUUCGAUAGCUUCUUGUCGUGUUUAUCGAUGACAUCUUGAUAUACUCUAAGACCAAGGAAGAUCAUGUCGAACACUUGACAACUAUGUUGAAGAUGUUGAAAGAGAGACAACUAUAUGCUAAACUUUCAAAGUGUGAAUUCUGGUUAGAAGAAGUACAAUUUCUUGGUCAUGUGAUUACUUUCGAUGGAAUUGUUGUUGAUCCAGCAAAAGUGGAAGCAGUUUUGCAAUUGGAAAGACCUCAAACAGUCACUAAAAUCAGGAGUUUUCUUGGGUUAGUUGGAUACUAUUGAAAAUUUAUAGAAGUUUUUUUAAGAUUGUGUUGCCUUUGACCAAGUUGACCCGAAAGAGUCAAGCUUUCGAAUGGACGACCCAGUAUGAAAAUAGUUUCCAAGAGUUGAAGCGAAGAUUGACUUCUUCUCUAGUGUUAAUUCUUCCAUAUCCGAACGGUACUUUUGAGGUAAAUUGUGAUGCUUCUAAACAAGGUUUGGGGUGCGUACGGAUGUAGAAUAGAAAGGUAGUAGCUUACGCAUCUCGACAGCUGAGACCUCAAGAAGAGAACUAUCCUACACAUGAUUUAAAGUUGGUUGCAGUUGUUUUCGUUUUAAAAAUUUGGAGACACCAUCUGUAUGGAUCCAAGUUUGAAGUAUUCAGCGACCACAAGAGUUUGAAAUACUUGUUUGAUCAAAAAGAGGUGAAUAUGAGACAACGCCGAUGGGUUGAAUUUAUGAAGGAUUAUGAUUUUGAAUUACAAUAUUACCCAGGAAAAGCAAAUAUGGUGGCAGAUGCUCUAAGUCGAAAAUCCCUCCAUUUGUCAGCCAUGAUGGUAAGGGAGUUGAAGCUAUUAGAAAACUUUAGAGAUAUGAAUCUAGUUCACUACUUCAAGGAAGGUAAAAUGGUUUUGGGAUUAAUGAGAAUCACCACCGAAUUUCUGGACCAGAUAAGGGAAUUACAGAAGACAGGCCGAGAAAUUCAAAUUCAAAAAUCACUCAUAUGGAACAAGGCAAAACUUAGAGAUUCAACAAGGAAAAGACGGAAUUAUUAGAUUCCAAGGGAGAAUUUGUAUUCCACAUAAUGAAGAACUAAGACAGAUGAUUUUAGAAGAAGCUCAAAAGAGUAAGUUGAAUUUUCACUUGGGAACUACCAAGAUGUACCGAGAUCUGAAGAAGAUGUUCUGGUGGCGAGGACUGAAAAGGAAUGUGGCAGAGUAUGUAAUGGCAUGUUUGACAUGUCAGAAGGCAAAAGUUGAACAUCAAAGACCCGGAGGAGAGUUGCAACCCUUAAGCAUCCCUGAGUGGAAAUGGGAUAGUGUUGAAACGUGGUGUAUCGAGUUUUAUUUCUAUUUUAGUUGGGAGUAUUCUCCUCUCAACAAAUCGUCCUGACAGUAGUGUCAAUUUGUUGAAAGAUUAAUAUUCUCAUUUUCGUUAUGUUCCUUUUGUAAGUAAGAGAACUCGGUUUUAUUCUUUGUUCGCCAUCUCGGCUUUGUUGAAAUGAAUUCCAACACCAGUAUAAUGGUUUCAAGAAUAUUCCAGUUACAACUUACUUUCUUAAUAAUCAUUUGAAUAAGUCAUUCCUUAUUUGCCCCAUCUCGGCUUUUUUAUAAUAAAUUCUAACGCCGGUAUAAUGGUAUCGAAGCAAUUACCUAUUACAUAAUUAUUAAGUACCUUUGAAUACCAUCUCGGUUUUGUGGAAUAAAUUCCAACACCGGUUUAAUAAUAUUCUAAUAUAUAAAAGUGAUGAAUAGUUAGUUGUUAGAUACAAAUAAAUAAAUAAAGAACAAAAGAAUAAUAAAUUUAGUGACCUUUUAUUUAUUUACUCCCUUUUGGGUUCAUUUUAUUAACAAACCAAACUUCUUCCUUAAGGAAGGUUGGUAUUAAAGAAUAAAAUGCGGAAAGUAAAUAACAAUAAAUAAAAGUUAGUAAGUUAGUUUCAUCACUUUUGUAUAUUAAAAGGUGUUUUCAAUAAAUAAAUUUAUUGAUAACACUUUACUAUUUUACAAUUUACACCUCUUUCAAGAUUCAAUUGUAGUAUAGUAUAGGGUUAUGUCGAACCACAAGGAAUUUCCUAGUAAAAUAAAUCAAGUAAACAUGUCAAAGCACAAAUAAUGGUUUAAACAUAUUUUGGUUGGUUUGAAUGUGAAUAUGAACAAGUACACAUAAUAAACAUACAACUAAACAUUAACAAAUUCUUGAGGAGACAAAUUCUUUUUGAAUAAGGAAAAUAUAUUUCUCAUCUUCUUUUUGAGUUUGAACUACUUAGACAAGUUCUUAUGUUUUACUUUGGUUAACCCCAAACACCAAGUUUUGAAAUCCUCCUUUUAGUGUAUGUCCUAAAAUCGUAGAAUCAUAAACACUUAUAUUCAUCACUUAAACAAUACUACGACCAUAAAAGAGAUUAGGUUGUCACACCCUAACCAUUGGUGACUCUAAUAUUGAAUGAGUGAUGAAUGUAAGAUCUUAAGAAAAACAUGCUUAACUUGGCAAAUAAACUAAGUAGUACAACUACUCCAUAUUUAUUUGUUAAGUAUUUGAGACAAGUAUUUUUGACUUGAAAUCAUUUUUUAGGUGAUCAAUCUAAAAAAACAUUAAGAACUUCUCUAAGAAAUAAUAUUAACCAAAGCACCAACUUGAAUGAUGAAAAUUCAAACUUUUGUAAAUUUAAGAAGCAGUAGAAAAUUACAUAAACUUUGUCCAAAGAAAAUGUUUAGGAGCAUGAGCUAUCCAUCCAAGGAUUGGAUGCUUUUGAGUUCCAAAUGAGACUACAAAAUUGAAUUUUGCAUCUCAUUUUCCUUCUCCUUUUCUCCUCUUGAAUUCUAAACUACAAAUUACAAAACUUACUUGAAAAUGAAAACUCUAAGCUGAGAAAGAAUUCCAAAAAUGAGAGAAUUCUGCCUUCAAGUGUUUUUGAGAGAAUUUAGUGAAGAAAUGCUCGAAUACAGUCUUUUUUGCUCGAAUGAAAUGGCCUCUAUUUAUAUGCCUCACAUCUUGACUACUGAGCUGCUGAGCUAGACCGCUCAACAGCUGACCAAACCCUUCAGCAUGGUUUUGGUCUCUUGACCAACUAGCUUAGUCACCUCCUUGUGCAUGACUCACCAAAGCUAGUUGUGGCCUACGAGACCAGCUAUUGUGAGCUACUUAUGAAAAGCCUAUGGUGGGCUACUUGAGGUGAGGUCAUGGAUGACUUCAUGGUGUGCUUGAUGGUUAAGUCAAGUCUGGUAAGUACCGUGCUUGCUUCACCGCCGAGCUGCUUGUUCAGCAGCUUCUGACCGUGUUGACUGGGACGUGUUUUGGUGCUUGCUGAUCUGGCUAGGAGUCCGGUUCUCCGCUGAGCAGCUUGGUUUGACCACUGAGCAGCUUGUUUAGCAGCUUGGCUUGUGUCAAGCUCGUGUCUGACCGUGUCAAGCAUAUUUCUGACCGUGCCAGACCUAGUCUGGUGCUAGGCUGAGCGGCUAAGCAGGACCUCUCAGCUGCCUGGUUGAGCAGUUUGGUCCAAGUCAGGCAGGUCGCCAUGUCAGGCAGGUCAGCUCAACGGGGUUUGUUCCAGCUCAACUGCCUGGUUGAGCACCUUGGUUUUCUUGACUUUUGUUGCGUUUUGAUCAUGAAUCAUUUUUCUUCUUUUCUUCAUUUUCUUUCCUACAAAAUACAUAAAAAGGCAAUACAAACACAAAUAUACUAAAUUGUGACAUUUUAUACAAAAAGUAAUGUUUUAAGUUGGUUUUUCUCAAUUAGGCUUAAGAUAUGUGCCAUAAAAGAGUAUGAUUUUUAGGUAUGUUUGGCACUUAUCANNNNNNNNNNNNNNNNNNNNNNNNNNNNNNNNNNNNNNNNNNNNNNNNNNNNNNNNNNNNNNNNNNNNNNNNNNNNNNNNNNNNNNNNNNNNNNNNNNNNAACAAUUGACCUAAGCAAGUAUUUUUCUAACAAAAGUGUUUCUUUGCACACAAGUUCGAAAAUGGAACCAAAUGGGGUAAGUGUUUCACUCAAAACUCAACUUGUUUGAUUUGCAAGAAUUUAAUUUUGUUUUUCAUCUUUCCACUUACUUUGAUUGCACAAAUUUUUCAAGAAUCACUAAGGUCUUAUUUAGGUUGUAAUGAGGCUUGGCUAUCAAAGGAAAUUGGUUUUUCAUGAUAUUCAAAGAUACUUUCAAAAUUAAAAAAGAGCGAAAAUUAAUUUUUCAUUAAAAACAUAUACUCCUUUCAACUUUUUUCCAUUUUUCCUUCCCUCAUUCUUUCUUUUUUUUCUUGACCUUUUUGUGUACUCCUUUUUAAUUUUCUCAAUCUCUUUUCAUUCCUUUUGAUUUUGGAGCUUUUACUUUACUUUUUGAUUUGUAAAGAGAUUGAGAAUUUUUCUUUGAAAACUUUGGUACUUAGCCAACCAUUCCCUCCCAACUUAAUUUCGUCCAUCAACCUUCCUUUUGAAAAAUGCUCUCUUUUUACUUAGAAAAAUAUAGGAGAUUAUUUUUGUUUUUCCAGAUUAGGCUCAAGGGUUGAUUUUGAAAAUUAAAUUUUAUUUUAAGGCUCAAAGGGGUUAACAAAGGAUAUUCCUAUUUUUGGUUGGUCAUUUUUGGUGAAGUGUCUCAUUCUAAGUUGUGAUAUAGCAAAUUGUGAUGAAUAUAAGUGUUUAUCAUUCUACCAUACAAACACAAAUAUAUAAAAAGACAAUACAAACACAAAUAUACCAAAUUGUGAUAUUUUAUACAAAAGUAUUAUUUUAAGUUGGUUUUUCUCAAUUAUGCUUAAGAUAAGUGUAAUACAAAAAUAUUUGCAAAGAACUUGUUACAUAAAAUUGAUUUUCAAUUUGCAAAAUAUUUUAGUUAUGACAUUAUGAGACUUUUUCACAAAAGUUUAGCAUAUAUCUCAUUUUGCUCAAUCAAAGAUUAAUUUAAAGUAUGCUUAACAUUUUUAAUCAUGUCAUCAUGCUUUAAAAAAUUGUUUUAGCCAUUUUGUUUUUGGUUUUGAAAAGUUUUGAGUUUUUUGAACAAACAAAUUUUACUUUUUACAUAUUUACACAAUUUAGUAAAAAGAAGAAUUUUUUUAGAUUACAUCAAGUCUUGUCCCCCCUUUUUAAAUGAAGGGUUGUCCUCAAGCCUUAAAAAAAUUGGGGCUUUACUUGAUGUGAUUUAAAAUUUUUGUUGAAACUUAAACUAAAAAUAACAAAAUACAAAAAAUUAAAAUGACUAAUAAAAAAUAGAAAUUGAAAGAAAUAAAUUUUUACCAUAUACUGGAUUGCCUUCCAGUUAGCGCUCUUUUAACGUCAUUAGCUUGACGUCAGAUUUUGGACGAGAUUAUUCUGUUUGAUCAUCGAUGAUGGAGCCUGAUUCAUCACCCAAAUACGUUUUUAACCUCGGUCCAUUUUUAGGAGAACACAUAAUUUCAUUCUCCUUGUUUUCACUAUCCUCUCCUAGAUAGUGGUGUCAUCAACUUCUUAUUUUUGUUUGUUUGUUUGGACAUGUUUUCAUGUAAAUCAUUUCAAACUUGCAAUUUUCUUUUGCUUUGAGGUUAGUCUCACAACUCACAUGAAUUUAUAAUUUCCUAAGACACUAAGUUCAUGAAUUAAAUUUGAUUGAGAGAAUUCCAACCAAACAACAUGCUUNNNNNNNNNNNNNNNNNNNNNNNNNNNNNNNNNNNNNNNNNNNNNNNNNNNNNNNNNNNNNNNNNNNNNNNNNNNNNNNNNNNNNNNNNNNNNNNNNNNNAACUACUCCAAAGUUUAUUUGUUAAGUGUUUGAGACAAGUAUUUUUUACUUGAAAUAAUUUUUUAGGUGAUCAAUCUAGAAAGAGUAAAAUUCAAAUUACAAAACCAAAGCACCAACUUGAAUGAUUAAAAUUCAAAGUUUUGUAAAUUUAAGAAGAAGUAUAAAAUUACAUAACCUUGUUCAAAAGAAAAUGUUUAGGAGCAUGAGCUAUCCAUCCAAGGAUUGGAUGCUUUUGAGUUCCAAAUGAGAGUACAAAAUUGAUUUUUGCAUCUCAUUUGCCAUCUCCUUUUCUCCUCUUGAAUUCUAAACUACAAAUUAUCAUUAUCACAAAGUACAUGGUGAAUACUUAACCUUUAAGGAUUCAAGUGGCUUCCCUUCUUGAAGAAAAAUUCUAGCCACUAAUCCUUGUUUAAUUCAAUCCCGUUUAUGUUGCUCUUUUGAAAAAGUUGAUGAGGGGUACCUCCACAUCUCCUAAAAUUAAAUUUAGUGAAGAAAUGCUCGAAUACAAUCUUUUUUGCUCGAAUGAAAUGGACUCUAUUCAUAGGCCUCACAUCCUGACCGUUGAGCUGCUCAGCAGCUGCCCAAACCCUUCAGUAUGGGUUUGGUCCCUUGACCAAGUAGCUUAGUAUUCACUCCGCUAAUUCACUUUUUUUUUUUUAGUUUUUAAAUUUUUUUUUUCAAAUCUACAAAACAUAAAAAUAAAGAUGUACAAAAGGAAAAAUAAAUUUAUACAAAAGAGAAAGAAAAUGUUAGGGCUACUUGAAGUGAGGUCAUGGAUGACUUCAUGGUUUGCUUGAUGGUUAAGUCAAGUCUGGUAAGCACCGCCCAACGCACCUACUUCAUCGCUGAGCUGCUUGUUCAGCAGCUUCUGACCGUGUUGACUGGGACGUGGCUUGGUGCUUGCUGAUCUGGCCAUGAGUCUGGUUCUUCGCUGAGCAGCUUGGUUUGAUCGUUGAGCAGCUUGUUCAGCAGCUUGGCUUAUUUCUGAUCAUGUCAAGCAUAUAUAUUUCUGAUCGUGCCAGGUCUAGUCUGGUGCUAGACUGAGCGGUUAAGCAGGUCCACUCAACUGCCUGGUUGAGCAGUUUGGUCCAGGUCAGGCAGGUGGCCAGGUCUGGCAGGUUAGUUCAGCGGGGCUUGUUCCACGCUCAGCUGCCUGGUGACAAAUAAAGCUCCUUCUAAACUUGUGUCUAUAUUACCAUUACUAUAAACCGAAGCGAUAAUAUUUUGAUAGUAUGCAAAUGUAUAUAUAUUAAAGUGAAGUUACAAAUUAUAUUUUGUUAAGGAGUCAAAGUCCAAUAGAAAUGAGAAAUUUAGUAUGUGUUAUGUUAAAAAUCAUAUAUGUGGACUUGACAUCACGUCUUAACUCAAACACAAGACAUUAGAUUAAGUUUGAUUGCAUUGGGCAUAACAAGUGUGUUGGAAAAGUUAUACAUUAAUAUCAAAUGAUAUAUAUAUAUAUAUGUGUGUGUAUAUAUAUAUAUAUUAAAUAGAUUAAAUAUGUUAAAAUUUAGAUAAAUAUUUUUUAGUAUUAUCCGGCCCGCACGCCACAACCCGCAACCCGCUUAGGGAAGGUUUCGGAUACAAUUUGAUAUGGAUAAAUUGUAUCCGAGCUUAUUAGCCUGAACCUGAUGUGAGCUAGGUCGAACCCGUUCGGGUAGUCUAUUUUGACACCUCCACAUACCGCAUAUGUUUUUUGGUCUUGAAAGGAUGGAUCCGGAUUGUGGUAACUUGAUCAGAGUCAUCUAGUAUAGCCUCAUAAGUGCUUGAACCCAUUGGGGUAAGCACAUGGAAAGGUUCUCGUACGAUCAAGCCAAUAUGUGAGAGAUAUAUAGAAUAUCAAAGAAUAAUAAGUAAGAGAUAAAGUGAAAGAGUUAAUAAGUAUGUGUAUAUCAUGUGAGUUCCAUUAUAGAUGAGGUUGGUUUGAUCGAUAAAAUGGUAUGUUGGGUCUAUCUUGGACAAACGAAGAUUGCUUUUCCCAUGUCAGGUAGCUUUGGAAGAUCUAUACUUGGUGGACGGUUGUCUUUUGUUCAUAUUGGCAUGUAUCACUAUGUCAUUAGUCUAUCUUGUCUGAUUUUGAGAGAUACAAUCACUACGCCAGAAUAGAAAAACUACAACACUUAAAAUUUUCCUUUAACAACAUUUUUGAGACGCUUUCUAUGUGAGCGCAAUAGUACAUAAGGUUAUAUUUAACAUUAUUUUUUGAAGCGUUUUAGAAAGUAGACAUUUAGCAGCGCUCACUGAAGCAAGCGUUGUUAAAUAUCUACUUUCAAAAUAAGACAAUAUAUCUUCCAAAUAUUCUAUCCAAUACAUGAAAACCAUGUCCAACUCCACCACAUUUACAACAGAUUUAUUAAAUCUCCAACGACUUCAGCUACAUUCAACCUUGUCAGAUUCCAAUAUUAUAAAAUAAAAUAUGAGUAAUGAGAUCUUACGCAAAUUGUUCAUUCUUUCUCCUCCAAUGUGCAAGUCCUUACUGAGUGUUCAUGUGUUCCUCAAUGAUUAUUGCAAGCAGCAAAUACAAAUAAAAAAUGGCAUCUCUAAACAAAUUGCAAAAGCUGUAAAAAAUAAAAAAUUAGCAGCAAUUGAGAGCAAAAUGUUUCCACCAAAUUGAUCAUGAAUAAACUAAUUAUUUAAAAAUAUAAUGAUUCAAAUGCAUAAAAGACUUUUUAUUUAUGGUGUAUAUGCAAGCAUCAAGAUUGAAUCAAAAAGAAAUAAAUGAGGUAAAUUGUUCACUUGCUUCAAUAAGCAUUGUUAUUUCUCUUGUGCCUUACAUUUAUCAGCUAUCAACAUACAAGUGUUGUUGAAUGGGCGUUGAUAAAUAUCAAUUAUGGCAUAGUAAAUUGUUGUUGAGAGGAACAGUAGGGCAUAGGUAGCAUGCAACAUGUAACAAAGGUCUAGGCUAUUCAAUCAGAGGUGACAGUUUUAUGCAUGUGGCACAACAUAGGGGUAGUAGGGUGGGCCCCAUGUUGUCUUGUCAUUGAUAGAACACUUCUUUGUGUUGCUCGGUCUUUUUGGUCUCUAGCCUGAGAGGGCUUAUAUACUACCCUUCUUGUUUGGUUUAUGAGGUUGUCUGUCUACCUCGUUCGAUCAAGACGUUUCUUUUUGGUGUGAGAUGGAACAACAAAACUCAUUCUUGAGGUCCUUAAGAAUCAUGGUAUAGGUGAACUCUAUCUUCAAACCUUGCACCAAUGACAAGCUUUUCCUUCUGAUACCCUACUGAACCAGUACAUGAACAUGUUGGAAGAAUGAAGAAUGUUGAAAGAAACUAGAGAAAGAAAAUUUGCAGAGUGAAAUCGUGUGUAGAGACAAGAAGAAAAAGAGAAAGAAAAUACAGAUAGUGUAUAGAAGAGUAUAUCAGAGAGUAAAUUGUACAUACUAAAUAAUAUUUGUUGUAUAUUUCUCAAUGAUUCAACUAAGGACUAAAUUGUACAUACUAAAUAAUAUUUGUUGUCUAUUUACGAGCUCAAUGACCUCGUCCUCCUCCUCUUCUCCCUCCACUUCGUUAUGCCACAACCCAGCAGCAUAAUUUGGUGGAGAUGACAUUCUCAGACUCGGAGUCUUCUUGCACGGACCUCCUCCAAGAAAUCGGCUCCUCUGGACUCUGCUGGAUGACGGAGCAUCCAAACAAUCUGCCCACAUCCUACGACCGUGAGAGGGAACCGCGCCAUCACUCCUGACUGGCGGGUGUCGGAGUCCUACAUUUGGAGACAUCAGUCCCGUUGGCGGCAAUGUGAAAGAAGCGUCAAUGUAAGCGUCGGGUGGGGGAUCAUCAUCGAUGACCUGUUGCACUCCAUGUGCAACGACAGACCGCAGGGGCCUGUGUAAGUGUAUCGGUGCCCAUCACUGACCCAUUGUCCCGCUGGGGACAUCGUGAAGUGGUUGCCGUGAAUGUGGGUGCUGUUGUUGGCCAUCUGCAUAGCAAACAUAUACAAAACAAGAACAAUACAAUAGAGAGAGUAAGACAUCUAAUGAACAUAAAUUCAUUGACGGCGUGGACUUACUCAGAAUAUCACACUCAGACAUAAAAUAUAUUUAAACAUAUAAUUCAUCAUUUAUCAUCAAUAUCAUUACGAAAUUCAUAACUUACCAUUUGUUCCAACCUUACCCAUAUAUCAAAUCAUAUAAUCCAUAUUCUACUCAUAACCAUAUCACACGCAUAAACGUAGGAAUACACAAUGAUUGUAACUCACAUGUGGGGAUUCACUUCCACAAUGAUAAUGUAUGCAUGAUAUGUCAUGAUUAUCCACCUUACACCAAUAUCCAUCCAACAUCCUAAUCGGAAAUGAUCGAGAGUACAGGUCCCGUACCAAGCCGUUUUGUACCACCCGAAAUAACAUAUCCUCGCAAGGAAUUAAAAAUAGAUCGAUCGGUUCCCUCAGGAACAGUCCUACCCGAACCUAGGNNNNNNNNNNNNNNNNNNNNNNNNNNNNNNNNNNNNNNNNNNNNNNNNNNNNNNNNNNNNNNNNNNNNNNNNNNNNNNNNNNNNNNNNNNNNNNNNNNNNAUAUCAUGUAUCCUUACUAGGGUACCCCCCUAGUUCAUGACCUCCAGUCGGAUACUUGCCCAACAAGGCAUAAACACAAACAAUGCUUUCAUACCUUUGUGGAGUCAUGCUUCACAUCUAAGACAUGAUCUCAUUCCACAACAUUUAUAUCACAACACACCCUACCCGGGUUCAUCACAUGGUUCACAACAUCAUUUUCUUCCAAUCGUCCCACACCGUCCCUCGCCCAAGUUGGGACUAGUCGUUCAAGCGACAAUUCGUCCUUAAAUCUCAAAUAGACUGAAGAUUUCCUUGCCUAGGCGAAAGUAUCAUCGCCCAAGCGAGAGGGUUCCAGAAACUCAUUAAAAUUCUAGAUUUUUUUUUCGAAAUGGGCUUUUGCUCGCCCAGGCGACGCCUUAUUCUCCCGAGGCGAUUUAAAAUUUUAUUUAUUGUUUUUUUUUUAAUUUUUUUUCCCCCCAAUCGGGUUUUUGCUCGCCCAGGCGGACUUUUGCUCGCCCAGGCAGACUUUUGCUCGCCCCGGCGGACUUUUGCUCGCCCUAGCGACGCCCUGCUCGCCCGGGUGACGCCUGGUUCGCCAGGCAACAGGGAUUUGGACAAAAUGCUAAUUUUUGCCAUUUUCGACAACCGAUACACAUUUAAACAUUGUUUUUCAAACACCUGCACCCAUAAAAGUUCCCAACAACAUUCAUAUACAAUAUUCAACACAUUUCAUCAACAAUCAUAUAUAUUCAAAAGCCUUCAAACAUAAAAAUCUUNNNNNNNNNNNNNNNNNNNNNNNNNNNNNNNNNNNNNNNNNNNNNNNNNNNNNNNNNNNNNNNNNNNNNNNNNNNNNNNNNNNNNNNNNNNNNNNNNNNNAACAUUAUAACAACUCCAUGAACACAAGUUGUUCAUGGUUUCAACAAAAUAUUUUCAUGAGUUCAAGAACAACACCAUUUUCGGUUUUUGAAGAUAAAAUGAGUUAGAAAGCGUUUUAGAAAUUUUCAACAGUUGAAUAUGUUCUUGACAUACUCAUGAACAACAUACUUAAAUCUCAUCAACAUCCAUGGGUUGAAUGUUGAGAGAUCAAGAAUUGAAGAUGGAAAAAGACAUGAAGAAAUGAGAGAAAAGUGAAGAGAGGAUUUACCUCCUCUUAGAAAGUUUGCAAAUGAAAGAGUGUGAGAGAAGUGUGAAGUCUGGGGGUUUAAGGGGUGAGAAGGAAAUCAGAUUUUCCCCCUAGGCCAUCAUGACAAAUCUCCUAGGGUGGCUAAUGAUGAUUUCCUAUGACAUUUAGGGUGUGUGAUGUGAGGUUUACUUUAUAGAAGUCAACUUUCGCAUCCCAAUGCGAAAUGACCACCUCAUGGAUAUGUGCGAUAACCAUGUCCGAGUAUUAUCGACCCAUACUCGAUCGAGUAUUAUAAAUCACCUGAUCCUAAUAUCCGAUUAGAAUUUCGGAUUUCGGCAUUCUGAGUGAAAAAUAUUUAGAAAAUAGGUAUGAGUGUACUCAAAGUCUAUAUUGACUCGAAAUAAAAUUAUGAAGCCAACGGCACGAUUGGAAUUCGAUUCUGAGUUAGGGAACUCAAAAAAACGCUUUUUGAGCCGUACCGGGUGUAUUUCGGCCCCGACAGUGGUUCAGAACCGACUGUCUCCGAAAAUUACCAAAAUCUACCACAAAAUCGGAAAUAAAAUUUCAAGAAUAACACUCAACUAGUGUUUCGUCUAAUUCCUUACCGAACAUUCCCUGAAAUUCAUUUUCGAAUAUAUAAUUAAUGAAAAUAUUAGUAAAAUCUUAUAAUUCAAAAUCGUAAAAUUCGCGGUGUUACAACCUUUAUUAAUUAUUAUGAAUUAUUUCAUUUCAAAGUAUUAAUUUAUUAAGAAUGUGAGUAAUAGUUUAAAAACAUAUUGCCCUAAAGGAUUUCCAUAUGAAAUGUGACUAAAAAUGAAAGGAAAUACAAAAUAGUAUAUCAAAUAAAUUAAUAAGACAUUAAACCAUGUAGAUUGCACUUUUCAUUUCUUAAUUAUGUAUUUAAUAAGAUUUAACUUCUACAACAAAAAUAUAAUAAAGAAAAUAGUUUUUUUACAACUAAACUAAAAGACAACAUAAUUGUUUAUCAUUGAGAACUGCACACAAGCAAAUUUAACAUAAUAGUUCACAAUAAAAAUAUUAAUAAAUAACAUACAAAGAUCAUCCUAUAGAAAUUAAAGAAUAACGAUCAAAUAAAGUGAUGGUUAUUAUAUUUUGACAAAUAAAGUUCAUUCUAAACUUGUGUCUAUAUUACCAUUACUAUAAACCGAAGCGAUAAUAUUUUGAUAGUAUCCAAAUGUAUAUAUAUUAAAGUGAAGUUACAAAUUAUAUUGUGUUAGGGAGUCAUAGUCCAAUAGAAAUGAGAGAUUUAGUAUGUGUUAUGUUAAAAAUCAUAUAUGUAGACUUGACAUCACGUCUUAACUCAAACACAAGACAUUAGAUUAAGUUUGAUUGCAUUGGGGAUAACAAGUGUGUUAGAAAAGUUAUACAUUAAUAUUAAAUAAAUAUUUUCUAGUAUUAUCCGGCCCGCACGCCACAACCCGCAACCUGCUUAGGGAAGGUUUCGGCUACAAUUUGAGUUCCAUUGUAGAUGAGGUUGGUUUGAUCGAUAAAAAGGUAUGUUGGGUCUAUCCUGGACAAACAAAGAUUGAUUUUCCCAUGUCAGGUAGCUUUGGAAGAUAUAUACUUGGUGGACGGUUGUCUUUUGCUCGUAUUGGCAUGUAUCCCUAUGUCAUUAGUCUAUCAUGUCUGAUUUUGGGAGAUACUAUCACUACUCCAGAAUAGAAAAACUACAACACUUAAAAUUGUCAUUUAACAACGUUUUUUAGACGCUUUCUAUGUUAGCGCAAUAGUACAUAAGGUUAUAUUUAACAUUAUUUUUUGAAGCGCUGUAGAAAGUAGACAUUUAGCAGCGCUCACUGAAGCAAGCGUUGUUAAAUGUCUACUUUCUAAAUAAGACAAUAUAUCUUCCAAACAUUCUAUCCAAUACAUGACAAGCAUGUCCAACUCCACCACGUUUACAACAGAUUUAUUAAAUCACCAACGACUUCAGGUACAUUCAACCUUGUCAGAUUCCAAUAUUAUAAAAUAAAAUAUGAGUAAUGAGAUCUUACGCAAAUUUUGUUCAUUCUUUCUCCUCCAAUGUGCAAAUCCUUACUGAGUGUUCAUGUGUUCCUCAAUGAUUAUUGCAAGCAGAAAAUACAAAUAAAAAAUGGUAUCUCUAAACAAAUUUCAAAAGCUCUAAAAACUAAAAAAUUAGCAACAAUUGAGAAAGAACAUUUACCAUUAUACUCAAACUAUGUUUUCUAAAAUAGUGAACUACAGCAAAAAACCUAGAACACCAUAGUUGCAUAACUUUAUAACAAAUAAAGAUCACCCUAAGAGCAAAAUGUUUCCACCAAAUUGAUCAUUAAUAAACUAAUUAUUUAAAAAUAUAACGAUUCAAAUGCAUCGAAGACUUUUUAUUUAUGGUGUAUAUGCAAGCAUCAAGACUGAAUCAAAAAGAAGUAAAUGAGGUAAAAUAAGAGGAGGUCAAAUAAGAUAGUGAUUUACCUGAGGCUAGAAGAGAAAAACCAAAAACUGAUAACUUGCUUGAAGAGAGAAACUAAAAACAAAAUAGGAAAAAUGUAACUCAUGGAGAAGAAGAAAAGUAAGAGAAAUAAUAAACUGAGUGAUCUGUGUAUUAUUGUGUGAGGUUUUGUUCCUGAAUUUUAAAAGAUUCUCACUCACUAAAUCAAGCGUUUAUCAAUGCUCACUGAAGAUGUGAUGUUAAAUAUAUGAAUGAAUGUAUGAUCUUUAACAACGCUUAUUGAAGAAGUGUUGUUAAAUAUAUGAAGUAUGACCUUUAACAUCACUUUCUUCAAUAAGCAUUGUUAAAGAUAACACGUUCAACAAUACAGCGCUCACUGAAGAAGUGAUGUUAAAUAUAUGAAUGUAUGAUCUUUAACAGUGUUUGCUUCAAUAAGCAUUGUUAAAGAUAACACUUUUAAUUGCCUCACUGAAGAAGUAUUGUUAAAUAUAUGAAGUAUGACCUUUAACAGCGUUUUCUUAAAUAAGCAUUGUUAAAGAUAACAUCUUUAACGUCACUUGCUUCAAUAAGCACUGUUAUUUCUCUUAUGCCUUACAUUUAUCAGCUAUGGCAUAGUGAAUUGUUGUUGAUAGGAACAGUAGGGCAUAGGUAGCAUGCAACAUGUAACAAAGGUCUAGGCUAUUCAAUCAGAGGUGACAGUUUUAUGCAUGUGGCGCAACAUAGGGGUAGUAGGGUGGGCCCCAUGUUGUCUUGUCAUUGAUAGAACACUUAUUUGUGUUGCUCGGUCUUUUUGGUCUCUAGCCUGAGAGGGCUUAUAGACUAGCCUUCUUGUUUGGUUUAUGAGGUUGUCUGUCUACCUUGUUCGAUCAAGACGUUUCUUUUUUUUGUGAGAUGGAACAACAAAACUCAUUCUUGAGGUCCUUAAGAAUCACGGUAUAGGUGAACUCUAUCUUCAAACCUUGCACCAAUUACAAGCUUUUCCUUCUGAUACCCUACUGAACCAGUACAUGAACAUGUUUGAAGAAUGAAGAAUGUUGAAAGAAACUAGAGAAAGAAAAUUUGCAGAGUGAAAUCGUGUGUAGAGACAAGAAGAAAGAGAGAAAGAAAAUGCAUAUAGUGUAUAGAAGAGUAUAUCAGAGAGUGAAUUGUAUAUACUAAAUAAUGUGUGUUGUAUAUUUCUCAAUGAUUCAACUAAGGAGUAAAAUUUCUAUUUAUAGCAAGUAUUACAACUAGAAUUCUAAAAACAGAAAACUCUAAAACUGACUAACUAACUCUCCAAGUUUUGAAUCAUUUCUAACACCCUUCCUUGAUUCAAAACCCAUUACAAACAAGUCACAUUCAACAAGUCUCUCAAUCUCUUGAAUCUGUCAACCUUUAGCGGCUUAGUUAAAAUGUCAGCCACCUAAAAAUCAGUGUUGCAAUACUUUAGUUGAAUCUAAGUUAAUGAAACUUUUUAUCAAUCUCAACCUUUGCUUACUUGGUCUCUAAGGAAAUGAUACUUAGUUUCAAUGUGUUUACUCCUACCAUGGGAUACUAUAUUUUUGGCCAAGUCUAUUGUUGAUUUACUAUCAACCAGCAGUUCCAAGUUCUCUACAUUAAGUAUAUUCAUUUUCACAGCAAAGAUGAUAGCCAAAAUGCUUGGCAAGCAGUUGAGGAUGUUGCAAUAUAUUCUACUUCACAAGUUGAUAGGGCCACAACUGACAGCUUCUUUGAGCUCCAAGUUAUAGGUGUGUCUAUCUAUGUGACAACAAUCACAAGUUCACUAACUCUCUCUAAUUCUCCAUUCAUUCUUCCUCUCUCCAACGGAAGAUUUUAUGUCAAAAACUCUUAUUGCUUUAACACUCAUAGUUGCAUUCUUAAUAUGCUCCUCUCAUGCUAAAGGCUGAUGACGAAAAAUGGAAUUAAAUGAUGAUAAUUCAUUUUUGAAUCUUGGAAUGAUGGAAUCAUAAGCCGAAGCGAUAAAAGCAUAAGUGAAAGAUCUACUUGUAGUACAAAUCAUUUAUUUGUAUUUCUCUUUUCUUCUUUUCAUUUCAUUUUUCCACCAUUCAUCCUUUGAUUUUUUUUCACUCCCCUUUUUNNNNNNNNNNNNNNNNNNNNNNNNNNNNNNNNNNNNNNNNNNNNNNNNNNNNNNNNNNNNNNNNNNNNNNNNNNNNNNNNNNNNNNNNNNNNNNNNNNNNGCUUUAGCUUUCACAUUCAUCUUGCAUGUUUCUUUCAAAAGCUUUCUUGCAUUAUUCUUUUGUUUCUUGAAAAGAGAAAGAUAGUUCUUUCAAGAUUGCAUAUUUUCAGAAACCUCAUGCAUGUGCAUUCACAUUAGACUUGGAAGUCUUGUGUGUUCUUGCUUAGGUUUUUAGGCUUUGGUUUUCAUUGUAAUAUCUGAGUAUUAAGUACUCUUUCAUAACUCAAAGCAUUAUCAUUAAAGGAUUGGGAAAAUCCUAGCCGCGGUUAGGUAAGGUGUUCUUCACAUAAAGACUUGGAGGUCUUGGGAUAAAGAGCGAUACCUUGGCUGGGGCCGAAUCGCAUAACAAAGGUUUUCUUUGGAGGUGGUUUUGGGAAAGGUCAAACCAAGGGUAACGUAGUUCUUUGGGUUCCAAGAAGGGAGCAUUCAAGUUUUGUAUUUGGAAGCGUGUAUGUAACGUACAUUGUGUUUCAUAGUGAAGAAAGAAAAUCUCCCAAAUCAGAGGGGAGGACUCGAUGUAGUUUUGCAGUGGACAGCAAAACGAACCAGGAUAAAAUCCCCGUGCAAUCUUUUCUAUCCUUUUCUCUUUUAUAUUUCAAGAAGUUUUAAUGCGUGUUUGGAGCUAAUAUUUUGCAUACUUGUUCCUUGCUAUGUUCUUGUUAAUCUUGCACAAAAGUAUUUGUUGUAUAUCUGUUUGUGUGUUUGUUAAUAACCGUGCAAGUUGCUUUUUUGAUCAUUCUGUUUUUGUUACUGGUUAAUCGAUUAAGACUAGUUGUUAAUCGAUUAACUGGGCAUUUUUCAGCAAGUGUGUAAAAACCAGAAAAGUGGACAUUGAGUUCCGCCGCACCUAUUCAACCCCUCCUUCUAUGCGUAAUCCGGCACUGAUACCUAACAAGUGGUAUCAGAGCUAGUACGUGUGCUAGCUCAACCGCAUCUGCGUGAUCCGAGAGGGACUAUACAUGGGCUCUAAUAAUCCAUUUGGCGGUGAUGGCGCAUCCAUUAAUCGCCCUCCCAUAUUCAGUGGCGAGGGUUAUGCCUAUUGGAAGGUUCGCAUGAGAAUCUAUAUCGAGGCAAUUAACACGGACAUUUGGGAUUCCAUUGUCAAUGGUCCAUACAUUCCACUUCAUAUGGUGGAUGGUGAGUUUAAAGAAAAGCCUAAAGGCUUACGGACGGAUAUUGAGAAAAGAAAGGUCCAACAUGACCUUAAGGNNNNNNNNNNNNNNNNNNNNNNNNNNNNNNNNNNNNNNNNNNNNNNNNNNNNNNNNNNNNNNNNNNNNNNNNNNNNNNNNNNNNNNNNNNNNNNNNNNNNCGUUGGUAACCAAUCUGGAAUUGGAUAUAAACCUGAACCUAAGAAAAGACCAUAUAGAAAUCCAGUAGUUGAUAUGCAUAAGAAGUCAAAUAAUAACAUGCCUACUUGUUUCUAUUGUGGUACACAUGGUCACACAUGCACUACAUGCUUUAUUAGAAAAUUUGGUGUGCCAAGUGGCAAAUAUGUUUCGAUAAAGAAAGGGAAAAAUCCCUUAGUUACUAACAAGAAGGGACCCAAAAUAACUUGGGUACCCGAAAGAGACAAGUAAAUUGUGUUUGCAGAUGUGCCAAAGGACAUUUGAGCGUCAAGGGAAAACUCAACAAAAGAUGUUCUAGGCACAAGGUUGGUGAGUAGAUCAAGGUCACUAAAUAGAAAAGUCAUUGAGAAAGGUUGUAAAAGAGCUUCUGCAUUAUGCUACCUACCAAGAGUACUUCUCUAAAUAAUAAAGGGGGAGAAGAUAAAGGGAAGAACAUUGAAAGGGGGAGCAGCGCACUUUGAAUGUCAAAUAUACAACGUUGAUCAUAUCAUCAAACUUUUCAUCAAACAAGUGGCAAUCUUGACCUAUCACCAAAGGGUAAGUAAGGUAAUUAACAAGGUUACAAAAUUAUUUCUUUGUAAGCUCAAAACUGUUCUUAAAACUGUCAACUUUCUGUCAUUAAUCGAUUAAGUCCUCAGUUUAAUCGAUUAAAUGAGUUCCAGUAGCUAAAGCUUUCUGAAAUAAAUCAUCUUAAUUGAUUAAAUGUUGUGAUAAUCGACUAGGCUCAAAUUUUUUGAAAUUUAAUUCUAGUUGUUUUGUGGCUUACGUCUAUAUUUUUUUGUCAAGUACAUCUCAUGGUUAUGAUUGUACCAUCUUUUAAUAUUUUGUAACUAUGUUGAACCUUGCUAAUUAUGUUAAAUAGAAUUUGUUUUUGCGUGAAUAUUGAACAUGUCUCAAUUGUGUAUUAUAAUUGAAUGAUUAAAAUAUGCUUUAAAAUGAAAAUUGCCUAACAAAGUGCUAACAAGUGGUAUCAUCUAACAAAUGGUACUAACAAGUGGUAUAUAUAUAUAUAUGUUUUAAUCAUUCCAUGACUAAACUGUUUACGUAAUGGAUAUGUCAUGCCAAAUUUGUCUAUAGAGUCAAAAAUCAAUGCAUUUGUUUAAGCUUCUCAAACUGGUUAUUACCUAUGCUAAUAAUUACAGUUUUUUUUUGUUAAUAAAUUGCUAUAUCUCCUCCUGACUUUUGACUAGAAUUGAAUAUUCGUAUCUUUUUGAUAAUGUCAAAAGGGGGAGAAAGGUUGCUUGUUGUAUUUGAUGUUAUUUGCAGGUGGAGAAAGGUUGCUUACCUAAGGGGGAGCAAAGUGCUUUCAACUUUGAUGUCACGACCAUUAUGCAAAUGUACAACAUCAUCAAGCUAACUCGUCAAAUGUAACGUAUCAUUUGAUGUAGUGUUUGUCAUCAUCAAAAAGGGGGAGAUUGAGAGUGCAAAGCGUCAAGGAUUUCCUUAGCAACGUUUGCCUAUGUUUUGAUGAAGACAAGGAAUUCGAUGAAGACAAGGAAUUCAUUAAAGCUUGAAGAUGGCUUAACAAUCAACAUAUCGAAGGCUCAAGCGGUGUCUUAUUAGACUUAUGCUAUUAUUCUUUAUUAUCUUUUUAGAAGUCUAAGAUGCUUGCCAUAGAUAUUGAGUCUAGGUUAGGUAAACCUAGGUGUGAGUCUCACAAGACUUAAUAAAGUAAUUAAUCAACUAAAAUGAGACAUCAUCUAGAAAUAUAUGAUAAUUAGGUUCAUGCAUUUAUAUACAUUGAUUUUAUGCAUUAAAGGUAUUAUAUUUUGGAAAUCAUGUAUUGCAUGAGCAUAUAACAUAUAAGUAGUUUAUCAUUUAAUCAUGUAUUAAAAAUACAUUGGUUAGUUGAUUAACCUCAUGGCUUAAUCAAUUAACGUGUAUUUUUUUAUGUUGUUUCAACAGCAUAACUGAAAAACCGUUUUCAAGAGCCAAAAUCUGUUUUCUAUAAAUACUGGCUUAAUUGCAUAAACGGCAAACUAAGAAGAAGAGGAAAAAGAAGAGUGAAAAACACAAGAGAAUAGAUAUAGAUCAUCAUUGUUAGAAUGUAUUAGAAAGUGUUGAAUUAGGAGAAAGAUUAGAUCAUGCUAAGGCUUUAGCUUUCACAUUCAUCUUGCAUGUUUCUUUCAAAAGCUUUCUUGCAUUAUUCUUUUGUUUCUUGAAAAGAAAAGAAAUAGUUUUUAAAGAUUGCAUAUUUUCAAAAACCUCAUGCCUGUGCAUUCACAUUAGACUUGGAAGUCUUGUGAGUUUUUGUUUUGGUUUUUAGGCUUUGGUUUUCAUUGUAAUAUUCGAGUAUUAAGUACUCUUUCAUAACUCAAAGCAUUGUUAUUAAAGGAUUGGGAAAAUCCUAGCUACAGUUAGGUAAGGUGUUCUUCACACAAAAACUUGGAGAUCUUGGGAUAAAGAGCGAUACCUUGGCUGGAGCCGAAUCGCAUAAGAAAGGUUUUUUUGGGAGGCGGUUUUGGGAAAGGUCAAACCAAGGGUAACAUAGUUCGUAGGGUUCCAAGAAGGGAGCAUUCAAGUUUUGUAUUUGGAAGCGUGUAUGUAACGUACAUUGUGUUUCAUAGUGAAGAAGGAAAAUCUCCCAAAUCAGAGGGGAGGACUAGAUGUAGUUUUGCAUUAGACAACAAAACGAACCAGGAUAAAAUCCCUGCGCAAUCUUUUCUAACCUUUUCUCUAUUAUAUUUCAAGAUGUUUUAAUGCGAGUUUGGAGCUAAUAUUUUCCAUGCUUGUUCCUUGCUAUGUUCUUGUUAGCUUGUUAAUCUUGCACAAAAGUAUCUGCUGUAUAUCUGUUUGUGUGUUUGUUAAUAACCGUGCAAGUUGUUGUUUUGAUCAUUCUGUUUCUAUUACUGGUUAAUCGAUUAAGACUAGUUGUUAAUUGAUUAACUGGGCAUUUUUCAGCAAGUGUAUAAAACCCAGAAAAGUGGAAAUUGAGUUCCGCCACACCUAUUCAACCUCCCCUUCUAGGUGUAUUCCGUCACUAAUUAUGUAAGAAACUCUUAUUGCUUUAGCACUGAUAGUUGCAUUCUUAAUAUGCUCUUCUCAUGCUAAAGAUUCAGAUGUUCCUUUCUUGUCACCAUUGAUAUCUAUGCUCCUCUCAUGCUAAAGGCUGAUGAAGAAAAAUGGAAUUGGAUGAUGAUAAUUCAUUGUUGAAUCUUGGAAUGAUGGAAUCAUAAGCCGAAACGAUAAAAGCAUAAGCGAAAGAUCUACUUGUAGUACAAAUCAUUUAUUUGUAUUUCUCUUUUCUUCUUUUCAUUUCAUUUUGCCACCAUUCAUCCUUUGAUUUUUUUUCACUCCCCUUUUUGUGGAGUAUUUCUUUUCUUGUUUUUCAUGGGAUGAAUGGUGUACUACAAUACUUAUUUCCCACUUUUUUCAUAGAUACAUUUUCCUCUCCCCAACUUAGAAUUUAACUCAAUGUAACACUUAACUCUCUUAUCCCACUAGAAGUAGACUAGAUAGAUUUUUAAUCUAGCAUAAGGUUUCAAUCAAUGAACAUUAAUGGCUUAAAGGGGCUUAUCAAGGGAUAUUCAUAAAAUCUAGUUAGUGUUUAGUCAAGUGGGUUUAUAGAAACAAUUGAUUUGAUCCUAUCCAUGUAUCACAAUCACUUAGUAAAAUAUGAUUCAAACAAAUUCAACUAUGCUAAUAUAAUACAUGUUCAUAUAGAUAGUGUAUAUUUUUCAUAAUCACUCAACUUUCAUUCUCAUGCCUUCUUAGUAACAAACAAUAUCAAGCACAGUUAUACACAUUUAACUAUUCACAGCAAACUCUUCAAUAAUGGUCCAGAAGCUUCACAUUCAAAUUCAUUAAUCAUUUUCAUGUUUAGUUAUGUUAGAAGAUAGACCAAUAAAGCAAACAUAUUAUUCAAAUCUAAAAAGAUAAGACUAAAAACAAUUUUUAUUAAUAGAGUACCAAAGGUAUAGAAUUACAAGAAUUUACAAGACUAAUAUUAAAAAAAACAUGGUUGUGAAAAAAAAUUAAGUGGUUUAAAACAACUUUAUAAGGCAAUCACAUGGAUUUGAAACCAUGUUAGAAUAUAUCAUUGCAGACUUGCUAUUUCUACCAUUAAUCUAAAUCAGAGACUUCCUAUAAAUGUAUCAACAUUAAAUAUAUUUUGUAUGAAAUUAUUAUCGCUUGUGGUAGUCACCUCAAAUACAAAGAAUAUUUUAUUCAUGGACAAUACUUGUUUUAUUUAGCAAAAUAAAAUAUAACACAAAUGUGCAAAAUAUCUUUCUAGAACUAAGUAAAUAUUCAAAACUCAAAAUUUGUCACUAGAAAAUAUUAAAUAAGACGUGCAUUUAAUAUAAAUAUUAUAUUCAAUCCCGCACGUUCCCAUAUAAAUUUUCAGUUAUUUAAUUUCAUGACGAUGUCUGGACUCCUAAUGGCAUUCAUUAAAGGGACUUAAAAUAAAUACACAAAUAUAUUUAUAAGGGCACAAUUCCUCUACUAGUCACAUGAAUCAAUUUAUGAUAUAAUUGUUUAUUGGCCAAAUAUUUUGUAGUAGAAUCUAAAGGACAUGUAUGUAAACAGAUAAUAUCAAUUGACCAUAAACAACAAAAUUAAAAAUUUAGAAAUCUACACAAAAUAUUUUUGAAAGUCAAAAUCAAUUUAUGCACUCAUUCAUAGUUAUGUAUUUCACCCAGCCUUUAAAAAAACAAAUUUACAAAUUGUUUGUGUAAAAAAUUAGAUUUCCAUAUAUGAUUCACGGCAUUAAAUGUAAGUAAUUUUUAUUAGGUCCUUGAUAAUUAUUUAUUGUUUUUUGUUUACUCAUAAUAAUAUUUAACAUUGAGUCAAAAAUUCAAAUAAAAAGUUUAACAUUAUUGNUUUUAGAUGAGUUAGAUGACAAAUUUUAAAGAUAAAAAACAAAUUUUAAUUUGUUCAAACUAUAAAGUAUUAAUUAAUAUAAAUUCAUCUUUUGUUUCUAUUAUAGAUUGUAUCUUUUUUGUUUAAUAAGAUAUUACAUCAUCUUGUAGAUAAGAAACUAAUAUAGUUCAAAGUGGGUCAAAAUAUCAAUACUAAUAUCGUUAAGAAUGAGUAAAAAUAUUAACAUUGGAGAAUUUUUUUUCCCUUCCCAAAUAUUAUGUACUUUCAUGUUUUUAUUUUACACAAAAAUAUCAAUACUGCAGAACAUGUGAAUUCUUCCUUUUAUUAAUUAUUAAAUUGCAUAUAUAUUAUUUAAUUAAUUGUAGUAAUCGUUAUAUUAUGCUAUCAUAUUUGAGAGGUAGAAUUAAAAUUAGGUCUGCCCUUAAGAAUAUGAGAUCCAUUGAGAAUGUGCCUAAUAAUUAAAAAAAUAUAGUACGCUCAUGUCUAACAACAGUAACAAUAACAAAUAAGUAAGAAAAAGAAAAUAUAUUAUAUGUUCUCAUUUUAUGACAAUUUUCAUAGGUGAAUUUUCAUUGUUUAAAUAUAUUAUAUGUUGUCAUUUUAUGUACUUAAUUUUUGAACAUGAUUUGCUUUAAUAUCUUAUUUUCGUUUAAGCUUUGACAUAUAAAUUUCACAUAUUUUUUUUAUAAUAAAGGAAGUCUCCCACUUUUUCUUUGUGGAUGGCCUAUAAAAUAUCAAGACUAGCCCUAAGUAUUAAACACUAUUUGAUAGUGCAUUAUAUAUAUAUAUCGAAAGAUAAAUAGAUAUUCUGUGAGAUCUUACAUAAUUAUAUCAACUUCUUAUUAUGAUUAAUUUUUGAAUAUUUAAAGCAAGACAUUUAUCUUAGAAUAAUUGAGAUAGGAAAUUAAAUUUCCAUGUGAUGAAAAUGUAAGCUAUUGGUUGAAUUUAGUGUACUGCCUAUACUUUGCACAAGAAUAUAAAGGAUGGAUAAUUAAAUAAAAUUAAUUGACAAUAAAUAAAACUAUGCAUGUACAAAACUCAAAAAAAUAUUUUUGAACGUCAAAAUCAUUUCAUAUACUCACCAGCAAUACACAAUUUACAAAUUCCAUGUCUGAAAAAGUUGAACUACCAUAUAUGAUACUACAACAUUAAAUGUAAGUAUUUUUAUUAUGGUCUUUGACAUUAUUUUUUCUUUUUUGUUUACUUAUAAUAAUAUUUUUGUAUUAUGUCCAAAAUUCAUAGAAGAAGUUUUAUAUUAAUGAAAGUUUAAUCUACCAAAAAAAAUGUAAUAAUAUCUUUUGGAAUAAGUAAUUAUCCCUUCAAACUAGAGUUGUUUAUAAGUAUUCAUAUGUCUACACCUAUGCAUUUGUGGCAAAUGUGUCAUACAUGAUGCAUAAAUAACGGGGACCAAUUGUUUUACCUAAACAGAUAAUCAUUCUUUUUACACAAAAAAUCUCACUACUAAAGAACAUGGGUACUAUUACCUUUAUUAAUUAUUGCCUUCCGAAGUAUGAAUUUAUUAAGAAUGUGAUUAAUAGUUUAAAAAAAUAUUGGGCUAAAUAAUUUCCAUAUGAAAUGUGACUAAAAAUGAAAGGUCAUACAAAAUAUUAGAUUUAUUAAGAAUGUAACUAAAAAAUAAACAUAAAAUAUUAUACUCAAGUUUGCAACAAAUAACAAUAUUAAAUGAGCAAGAAAAAAAUGUAUUACAUUUUCAAAUGAUUUUCAUUAGACUUUUUUAGUUGAAAUAUUAUUGCAAAUUAUUUUACAUAAUUAAAUUCUUUUUAUGAUGAAUGAAUAGUUGUUUUUGUUGUCAUCGUCACUUAUUUUGAACUCUCAUUUUCCUUUAAAUUCCGACAUUUAAAUUUAACAUAUUUUCUUAUGAUAAAUAAUGUCUAUUAUUUUACUAUGUGAAUGGCCUAUAAAAUGUCACGACGGACCCUAAAUAUUAAACAUAAGAAUUUCAUAUUGUACCAUGCACAGGGAUCAAUUGAAAUAUUACAUCAAUAUGUUAACUUCAUGUAAUAAUUAGUCUUUGACUAUUCAAAGCAAUGCAUUUAUUCUAGAAUACAUGAGAUGUAAUUUUUCUAAUAUUAAAAGAUAAAAAUAUGUAUAGACUAAUAGUGUAUGCGUUUUAUAUAUUGUCACUGUUAUUUCGUCAUUCACUUUCAUAUUUAAUCAUCAUUGACUCUUCAAAGAAUGUAACUCAAAUGAAUUAUGGAUGAUGUAGUGAUUUGUGUAAAUCUUUACACUAACAGUACAUAGAUAUUAUACUCAUAUUGAAAAUAUAAGCUAUUGAAGGACCUAAUUCAUCUUUUGGAAGUUGUAAUACUCUCAUACUAUAUAAAGAGGGGCUCACAAUGAUUUGAGACAUCCAUUCAAAAGUUCUUAUUUGAUCAAGUUUCAAGUGUGGACAAUUACUUAAGUAUGAGGAUGUCAAUUAUUAAACUGGCUUUCGUAUUGGUUUUCAUCUUUGCAACAGGUUAGAAAUUUUGUUUUACGCGACCCUAAUCGUGUCUCUUGUUCAAAUGUAUGGAUCCAAUUCUAUAUCCUAAAUUAUUUUCACUAUACUCUAAUUAUUCAUCCAAAUUUAAUNNNNNNNNNNNNNNNNNNNNNNNNNNNNNNNNNNNNNNNNNNNNNNNNNNNNNNNNNNNNNNNNNNNNNNNNNNNNNNNNNNNNNNNNNNNNNNNNNNNNAUUUGAUAAACUUCGGAUCCAAGCAUCACAAGAAUGAGUAUCAAAAGUGUGUGUUGGAAUAAUAAAAUGUUGAUAAGGAUUGAUUAUAUCUUAUUAUCAUGUAAUAUCAAAGCUUAUAAAGUCAUGUUAAAUAAAACUUAAGAUUUAAACAUUUUCCAUAAUCAUGAUCUUAUAUACAUAAGAUUACAUAUUAUCAUAGUUUAGAUGAUAUGUAAUGGUACGCAGUCUAAUUCAAAUUGAGACAGAGGC
rnacentral:lncRNA from 1 species